rnacentral:lncRNA from 1 species
CCUUUUCAAUUAAUUUUCAGAAAUAAAUGAUUUACCGAUGAAUAUAGAUGGAAAUCCAACUUUCAAAAGAUAUUCAAUGAAGCACAAAGUUUAAUACCACUUUACAUUUAGUAUUCUUUGUCUCAUCUUUAGAUGCGAAUUUAUACGAUUAAGUUCUAUAUGAUCUCUCCCUCUAAAAUUUUCUUUCUCCCUCUUAAUUAAUCAUUCCAUUUGAGAGUUUAGAGUUUGAGGAUAAUUUUCAAUAAAGAGAUUGAGUAUUUAAAGCUCCCCCUCAAAAGAUGCAUUUUCUUUCAAACCUUUUUUUUUGUUCUUCUAUAAUAUCAAGAAUGUAGAGUGAUCUAGAAUUUUUCAAAAUUUAUAGCAAUCACU